rnacentral:lncRNA from 1 species
UGUGAAGUGGCAGCUGGUGAACCAGAUCGACAAUGGAUCAAUUAGUAGUGUCGCCAUCCUUGGUUCUGAAGCAAUUCGUGAGGCGUCUCCUGCCAUAACAAUCUGGUUCUUACCUGAGUAUUGUCUACUAAGACGCCAUGUUGCUAGGUAAGUAUAAACAGUGGAUUAUCUCCAUUCAUGUGUUGCAGCUUCUACCAUCCUCCUUUUUUAGCAUGUCAGACACUCAGUAUACUUAUUCAUAUAGAUAGAUUUUUUAAGUAUAAGAAGCUCAUGUUUAGAUACUUAAUGCUGAAAUGUGAACCAACAAUGCAACAUGAACACAAUUAUUAGUGCAUGAUACUUUGAUCAAUAAUUUCUCUGUCAUCGGCCGUGCACUAAUUUAGACAUAUUCUGUUUUUCUGAAAGCAAUUCAUCCCAAAUUUUCGUCUAGCCGCAUUGCAUUUUUAUCCUGAAUCUCCGUCAUCAUUCAUUUUUGCAAAGAUUUAUUGCAUUUAUGAGACACAUUUACUCCAUUUUAAUUCAAUUUACCAUAUAUUAAUCCACUUCAAUUAGCAACAAGAUCCCAAGCUGAAACUAUUGCGGUCUGGGCUGGUAUGCGACUCCCAUUUUCCCAUUAUUGAUUUUUUUCACAAUGGAUACAUUCGAGCAUUGCAUUUUAAAGUCAAGUUUUAGCAAUUAUUUUUUAGCAGAAAUGCAGUGAUCUAUAUGCAAACAAUCUCUCUGUUUUAGUAAUGUUAUGGGACAUCAGAGAGCAGAUGGCAUGUCACAUCCCCAAUAAAUGUGUCAAUCAUACUAAAUCAUGGAUGAUUUUUAAUUUUGGAUAUUGAAAGAAUGCUAUUUUCUCGAGUAUAAUAUGACAAUACUCCCUCUGUAAAGAAAUAUAAGAGCGUUUUGAUCAUUAGUAGUGAUCUAAACACUCUUAUAUUUCCUUACAGAGGGAGUACUAAUUAACUCUUUCUGUUUGUAAGCUAUCUUGAUAUUUCUUAGCUGUUUUGAUGUUUCGCUUGGCAGAAAGUAUCACUGUAGUACUGCUUGAGAAGACAUAAGUGUGGGUGAUUGUGGUUUUAAAUCAGAGAAUUAUGGUUUCAAAGUUAUUCGUUAAAGGUACUCCCUCUGUCCCAUAAUAUAAGAACGUUUUUCAAGCUAUGUUAGCUUGAAAAAUUAUCUAAUAUUGUUGGAUGGAGGGGGUAAUUCAUAUUUAUCUUAAGGUUACUAACAUACUUUCUAUGAAAUUUAUUUUCUUCUUCAUUAUCAUAUAGGCCAAGAUGUUCUCAAUAUGCUGCAUCUGGAACGUCUCUGAAGAGAUUAACCAUCUGAAGACUCGGUCACCUGGUUUUAUUUUAAAUGAAGUUGUGUGUGUGAGGGAGUGAGCAAUAAAUUUGUGCAUGAACUAACGACGUUGGUGAGAGUUUAGGUGUUCGUAGAAUUGGUUAGGUGAAUACCCCGAUCUUGUAGUUAGAUGGUUGUAACUAACAUCUUACACUCUUUUAAUGGUGAUCAAUAGAUUGGUGUGUCCAUCGGAAGAUAAAACGUGUCAAGAAUUGUAUGUUGUCGAUAAUAGACCAUCUAGAAUUGAACCCCUGUUACUUUGUCCCCAUUUAUUCGGAUGGACAAUCCAGACACGAGAGAAAGAAAAAAGGCCACCCAAUUGGAC